rnacentral:piRNA from 1 species
UGCCCCUUGAAGUGUCACAGUAAGAUGUC